rnacentral:rRNA from 1 species
GAUGAACGCUGGCGGCGUGCCUAAUACAUGCAAGUCGAGCGAACAGACGAGGAGCUUGCUCCUCUGACGUUAGCGGCGGACGGGUGAGUAACACGUGGAUAACCUACCUAUAAGACUGGGAUAACUUCGGGAAACCGGAGCUAAUACCGGAUAAUAUAUUGAACCGCAUGGUUCAAUAGUGAAAGACGGUUUUGCUGUCACUUAUAGAUGGAUCCGCGCCGCAUUAGCUAGUUGGUAAGGUAACGGCUUACCAAGGCAACGAUGCGUAGCCGACCUGAGAGGGUGAUCGGCCACACGAGAACUGAGACACGGUCCAGACUCCUACGGGAGGCAGCAGUAGGGAAUCUUCCGCAAUGGGCGAAAGCUUGACGGAGCAACGCCGCGUGAGUGAUGAAGGUCUUCGGAUCGUAAAACUCUGUUAUUAGGGAAGAACAAAUGUGUAAGUAACUAUGCACGUCUUGACGGUACCUAAUCAGAAAGCCACGGCUAACUACGUG